ACCAGUCUCAACGCUAUCGUCGUGCAAGUAAUUGGUUCCUUUGUCAAUAUUAUGUGGAAGUUUGUUUAGUAAUGUUUUGUAGUUUACGGAAACGCGAUCUCUAAGCCAGGAGGAGCAGUUCUCGUAUUGAAUUGCAGUGGGAGAGCGGUUUUUUUUCUGUAUGAUACACGAGAGAUUGUGUCACGAAAGGAAAACAAUACCCCCACAGACACGGACUAGAAAGAAAGGAAAGAAGUAAAAAAAGACUAAAGAGAAGUACGCUUUCUCGGCCGAGAUUCGAACCUGGGACGGGUCCGCGUGUGUGUCAGAGUGAAGUGUAAAAUUAUUUGUGUUUUUAUCGGCUCGUCCAUCAUACACGCCCGGUUGUGUAUGCUCGCGCGCGCUCCUGCUCACUCUCAUCCUGCCCACAGAGCAGCAGCAACACCACCCUCUUCCCACCAUCACCACCCUAUGUGUUUGUUGUAUCUCUCUGUGUGUCUGAGACGCGAUCGAUUUUGACUUAUCGACCGAAUGGCUCGUUUAGCAUAUAGUUUCAAUCAGUAGUAGCGCGCUGAUUGUUGAAUGAUGUGGUUGGUCGUCGAAAACCGCAGCCGCAGGUCGUCCAGUGAAAUUUCUCAUCAAACAAAAUAGCCAACGCAUUUAUUUACCUCGCGUGGACUUGUGGAACACACACACCCCGGCCGUGGAAAUAGUUUGCAACUAGCCGUCAAACUGAUUAGUGUGAUAUAUCUCUCCCGGAAUUACCUAAACCCCUGGAGAGUUGGCCACGAUCGGCUCUUCAACGCUGGGAAAUUGUGUGCAGUGUGUUAAAAAUCAUGAACUGAUCAACGUGAAAAAAAAAACAAAAUUGUGCAAUAAGAUUUAAAGGAAAAACAAACAGAAAACAUAAGUUUAACGUGCAAAUUUUGAAAAUGACAAAACAAGUGCUGCACUGUUGAGAAGCAACAAAUCGUGCUAGUGAAAACAUCCAAAGGACAGUGUUGAGCAAUGAUUCAAGUCGACUCUGUUGGAUACUCUAGAGUGAACGAUAAAUCCCAAGCUGAUGAAGAUAUGAAGGAGAAUGAUAGUUGCGAGCAGGAUAAUUCAAGCGCAGCACCGUCGGUGAAUUUACUAGCAAAAAUGUCGGAAGAAAUCGCAGAGAAAGAUCGCAAUAAGCAGGAGCAUCUGAACGAUAACCACCAUAACCAUCUUCCGGUUCGACAUCAUUUGCCGCACGAUCGCAGUGAAAAUGUUCAAAAUGAGGAAAAUAUGAGCGAUGAUGAUGAAAACAACGACGAUAACGGAAGCGGGGUUGGUCGAAAUGAGAUGGAAAACGACCACGGUAGCAAGAACGAUCGAAGCUCCACGCCACACGGCAAUUUGUCAGAUGAACGACCGGAGGUUAAUGCUGCGGCUGUGGCGAUGGCAGCUUUGGCAGCGACGAAAAACUCCGCUGGAGGUUCUCCAACGCUACCGAACGAGUUCAAUCCCGCUGCAUUUUUCCCACAGCCAGGACAAAUGUCGAUUCAAGCCUUUCAGAAUGCGAUCGCUCAAUUCACGGCAAAUGCAUUGGCCAACAACAUGGACAAUGAUACAGUUGUGAAAAAUUUAGCCAUCCUGCAAUCGGCACUUUUCACGCUGCAACAGCAACAGUUUCUGCAGUUUCAACUCAUACAACAUCUGCAGUCGCAACUGGUGAAGAAGCAGGUUACCAAGGAAGAACCAUCGAACGAUAGUAGUAAUAGUUUAGUGUUUCAUCAUAACAAUAACAAUAAUCUUAGUAAGAGAAAUGAGCCUCAAGAUUUGCGAAAGCAGGAACGGUUAGAAGAAGAUGAAGAAGUCGAGGAAGAGGGCAUUGAGGAUGCCUACAGUAAAAGCUAUCAGAUGGCGAAUAUAAUGGCCGUUGCAGCUGCUGCCAGUGCGGAAAAUCGACCAGUGAUACAUCCCGUUCCCGAAGAAGAACUAAGGAAACCAAAAGUUUCUGAGCCGUACGUUGAAAAACGGCCAAUUGCAGAACCUUCGAUCAGUUUGCCUCCGUCGACGGUGGCGGCCAGUGCAAGUUCAAGCCUUCCCACUUCCAUCUAUUCACAUAGUGGAAGGAGCGAAAAGGAUGAAAUUCUACCAUAUCAAGACUCGAAUUUCUCGUCACUAGCCGCGAAUAUUAUAACGGAUCACGCGCCAUCGAUCCUGGGUGAACCAAAUUCACUUGCAAUGCUGGAAAAGAAAGCCCAAGAAGUGCUCAAUUCAGCUUCGCAAGGCAUUCUGUCCAAUAAUCUGCUUGAUGAGCUCGCCUUUGCAAACGAUAAAUCAUCUCCAAAUGGUCGAAACGAUGCAGCCCUUUUCAAGCACCGAUGUCGGUAUUGUGGCAAAAUUUUCGGAUCAGACUCUUCGUUACAAAUUCACAUCCGAUCACACACCGGCGAGAGACCGUACAAGUGCAAUGUUUGCGGGAGUCGCUUCACUACCAAGGGCAACCUAAAGGUUCACUUUCAGCGGCACUCUGACAAGUACCCGCACAUACCGAUGAACCCAAAUCCCGUGCCGGAACACUUGGACAAAUACUUUCCUCCGUUGAUUCCCCAGGAAGCUCUCAAAGAACAGCAGCAGCAGCAGCAGCAGCAGCAACAACAACAACAGCAACAGCAAGGACCACCACCUCCUUCUUCAAUCCCACCCCCUGGUCCACCAGGUCCGUUUCCAGGCAUGGAAUCGCGAGGUUUCCCGCCAAGGGGAUUUUUCCCAGACUUUUACCUGCCGAGGCCUCCUCUGGACAUGUUCACGAAUCCGCUGAACGAGCCAGCUCGGAAUCCGGUUGAUUUGUCCCAAGUGAGGAAACCGGAACCACCACGGGAACCUACACCAGAGAUGCGGCUCUCGCCGGAAAUCAUCAUCCAUGAGCAACCACCCCAAAUAAAGCAGGAACCGAUGGAAGAGUCGUUGGACCUUUCGGACAAAUCCUCGAAAGUUGUUCAAAGAGAAGAAGAGAAAGAAGAAAUGGAACAGGACAAAGAGGAUAAUACGACUCUGAACAACAGCACCAGUGAAAAAGAAUUUCCCUUAAAGUUGAAGAACAACUCCGUGGAAAACCUUGCGACGGUACCCUCGGUAUCACCUCCUUCGAGCUCAUCGUCAGGGUCACUGUACCAAGACACGGUGUUGGAUCCGUCGUUUUACUCUGCACAUCUGCCUCGCCCAGACAGCAACGAUAGCUCGUGGGAAAACUUUAUUGAAAUUUCGUCAGAAACAUCGAAAUUGCAAGAGCUUGUCGAUAAUAUCGAUAGCAAAACAACGGAACCCAACCAGUGUUUGGUUUGUAAGAAAGUUUUAUCUUGCCGAAGUGCACUUCAAAUGCAUUACCGAGUUCACACCGGUGAGCGUCCAUUUCGGUGCAAAAUUUGCGGUCGAUCGUUUACGACCAAGGGCAAUUUGAAAACGCAUAUGAGUGUUCAUAGGAUAAAACCUCCGAUGAGGACCCUCCACCAGUGCCCGGUGUGCCACCAAAAAUUCUCCAACAUUUUCGUCCUGCAACAGCACAUCCGAUUGCAUACGGGAGAAAUGACGGACCUUACUCCGGAUCAAAUAAAGGCGGCUGAAAUCAAAGAGUACGAAGGGCCCGAUAUGCGGUUGAAUCCGUUUGGAGUGCGGUUGAAUGAAUUUCCUCCCCAGCAGCACAAUCAGAACAAACGCAAUUUAGAACAUUCAGACGAGGAAAACGAGCACGAGCCAGCGGAAGAAAAAUCUCACAAGGUUCCUGUGAAUGAGAAAAUUAAGGUUAAAACCGGACUUACGUCACCAGCAAUUGAAAAUCAGGUGGAAGAUUUGCGUGCCGUAAACUUACAACGAUUGUCGGUUCGAUCGUUGCCAAAUGAGGAAUUUACCCGUGACACGGCUUCGGCCAGCCCAAACUCGACGGACGCCAAAAGGUUACGAUCGUCCAGUCCGAUCGGGUCGGUAUCGUCGGUGAUGUCCAACCGGUCUCCCAUGUCCACACCACCCACAUCCGGCGGUGAACAGAUAGGAGCAGGAGCCGCGAGUAGAGCCGCCGUCGCCGCUGCCGCAGCAGCUGCUUUUCCUUACGGACCUCCGUUCCUUGGAAUGCCCCAGUUUCCACCGUUCAUCAAUCGGCCGCCCUUUUUGGGCAAUGUUCCGAUAGUGCCACCGGGAGCAAACAUGCCUCCGUUUGGAUUGUUCGAAAAUUUGAUUAAUUGUAGGCGUACGUGGAAACACAACAACUUGUAAUAUUUGCUUUAAAACUUUCGCAUGUAAUUCCGCGCUCGAAAUUCAUUAUCGAAGCCAUACGAAGGAGCGCCCAUUCAAAUGCACAAUUUGCGAUCGAGGAUUCUCUACCAAGGGAAAUAUGAAGCAGCACAUGCUCACACACAAGAUCCGUGAUAUGUUUGGCAGCUCGGGUGGCAAUUCCGGGGAUGAGUCACGCACACAGACUCCGCCGCAGGACUCCAGUAACGCUGGUUCUGCUGGUGGUGGGCCG
rnacentral:misc_RNA from 1 species